GGGUGCGAUCAUACCAGCAGAAUAGCACCAGAUCCCAUCCGAACUAUGCAGUUCAGCGUGCUUGGGCGAGAGUAGUUCUAGGAUGGGUGGCCUUGUGGGAAGUAUUCGUGUUGCACCCU
rnacentral:rRNA from 1 species